CCAGCACCCCGAGUGGCCGGGACGAUUAUUGGGCCUAAAGCAUCCGUAGCCGGUUUUACAAGUCCUCCGUUAAAUCCAACUGCUUAACAGAUGGGCCGCGGAGGAUACUAUAAGACUAGGAGGCAGGAGAGGCAAGCGGUACUCAGUGGGUAGGGGUAAAAUCCGUUGAUCCAUUGAAGACCACCAGUGGCGAAGGCGGCUUGCCAGAAUGCGCUCGACGGUGAGGGAUGAAAGCUGGGGGAGCAAACCGGAUUAGAUACCCGGGUAGUCCCAGCUGUAAACGAUGCAGACUCGGUGAUGGACUAGCUUCAUGCUAGUCCAGUGCCGCAGGGAAGCCGUUAAGUCUGCCGCCUGGGUAGUACGGUCGCAAGACUG
rnacentral:rRNA from 1 species